rnacentral:rRNA from 1 species
GAUGAACGCUGGCGGCGUGCCUAAUACAUGCAAGUCGAGCGAACGGACGAGAAGCUUGCUUCUCUGAUGUUAGCGGCGGACGGGUGAGUAACACGUGGAUAACCUACCUAUAAGACUGGGAUAACUUCGGGAAACCGGAGCUAAUACCGGAUGAUAUUUUGAACCGCAUGGUUCAAAAGUGAAAGACGGUCUUGCUGUCACUUAUAGAUGGAUCCGCGCUGCAUUAGCUAGUUGGUAAGUUAACGGCUUACCAAGGCAACGAUGCAUAGCCGACCUGAGAGGGUGAUCGGCCACACUGGAACUGAGACACGGUCCAGACUCCUACGGGAGGCAGCAGUAGGGAAUCUUCCGAAAUGGGCGAAAGCCUGACGGAGCAACGCCGCGUGAGUGAUGAAGGUCUUCGGAUCGUAAAACUCUGUUAUUAGGGAAGAACAUAUGUGUAAGUAACUGUGCACAUCUUGACGGUACCUAAUCAGAAAGCCACGGCUAACUACGUG